rnacentral:misc_RNA from 1 species
GUGAAUCAUCAAAUUUUUGAACGCAAAUUGCGCUUCCUGGGAUCACGAGGAGUAUGCCUGUUUGAGGGUCAGUAUUAAUAAAAAAUUGGUUUAGUUAUGAAUUGUGACGUUUCCGGAGUUUGGGCUAUCUUAACAUUUUUGGUUAAGUGGCUUAUAAUUGUCCUUUUUUGUGCAUUUUUAACCGUACAUAUAUUUUCUUUAUUCGUGUAUUCUUAAUGCCAAACUCUUUAUAGAUGCGAUCAUAUUGUGUUGCUU